CCCAGACAGACACCCACCGGGACAGACACACAGACGCUCACGCUGACGCAGAGAGGCCCUGCCCAAGAGGCAGCUUCCCCACAGGAGGGCGGUGGUGCUUGAGCUGGGCCCGGGCAAGGAGGCGGGGGCCCUGGGGCUGGCGAUCACCCCUGGGGCCCUGGGACGUGCAGACAGGGUCUCAGGAGUGCAGCGCUCCUGGGAUCCCUGUCCCGCGACCCGGACGCCCAGGAGCCACGGACUGGCAGCCGGGCUCGGGCUCGCUCUCGCUCUCGCUCUCGCUCUCGCUCUCGCUCUCGCUCUGUGUGUGUGCGUUUUUGUGUGCGCCUGCGUGUCUGUGUCUGUUUGUGUGUUUCUUUCCUUCUCUCUUCGCCUCUUCGUUCUGGCUCUUUUCCUCUUUCUGCGGGGCGCCCCCGGACUUCCUGAGUUGACAGAACGACCAGCCAGAAAAGUCAGGACACGGAGAACUUCGCCCGAGAAACCAACGCAAUCUACCAGACGUACAGAACCCCCUCCCCGACGACCACAGCGUCCACAGUCUGCUCGAGUGCAGACGUACAGAACCCCCUCCCCGACGACCACAGCGUCCACAGUCUGCUCGAGUGCAGACGUACAGAACCCCCUCCCCGACGACCACAGCGUCCACAGUCUGCUCGAGUGCAGGAUUCAGGAAAUAGUUUACGAUUCAAGUGCAUCCUAAAGUUGGAGCAACCCUGGCUAGAAUAUCAUAGAUCCUUGAGUUGGCAGAGACCUUUCACUCUUCAGUAUAUUUAUAUUCAACGCAAAGAUCCUUCCUUCUAUAUCAUCCUUGACAACAGACCACCUAGAUUCUGUGUAAAUAAUUCCGAUGACAAGAAACGCAUUAAAUAAAGAGACCCCUUUGUUUUUAGAGUUUUAAAUGUUU
rnacentral:lncRNA from 1 species